rnacentral:rRNA from 1 species
UACGAAGGGGCUAGCGUUGUUCGGAAUCACUGGGCGUAAAGCGCACGUAGGCGGAUGUGCCAGUCAGGGGUGAAAUCCGGAGCUCAACUCCGGAACUGCCUCUGAUACAGCACGUCUUGAGUUCGAGAGAGGUGGGUGGAAUUCCCAGUGUAGAGGUGAAAUUCGUAGAUAGUUGGGAAGAACACCGGUGGCGAAGGCGGCGACCUGGUCCUUGACUGGACGCUGAGACGCGAAAGCGUGGGGAGCAAACAGG